rnacentral:rRNA from 1 species
AACGAACGCUGGCGGCAUGCCUAACACAUGCAAGUCGAACGAGACCUUCGGGUCUAGUGGCGCACGGGUGCGUAACGCGUGGGAAUCUACCCUCAGGUUCGGAAUAACUCAGAGAAAUGUGAGCUAAUACCGGAUGAUGACGUAAGUCCAAAGAUUUAUCGCCUGAGGAUGAGCCCGCUUAGGAUUAGGUAGUUGGUGAGGUAAAGGCUCACCAAGCCGACGAUCCUUAGCUGGUCUGAGAGGAUGAUCAGCCACACUGGGACUGAGACACGGCCCAGACUCCUACGGGAGGCAGCAGUGGGGAAUAUUGGACAAUGGGCGAAAGCCUGAUCCAGCAAUGCCGCGUGAGUGAUGAAGGCCUUAGGGUUGUAAAGCUCUUUUACCCGGGAUGAUAAUGACAGUACCGGGAGAAUAAGCUCCGGCUAACUCCGUG